AUUGAACGAUGGCGGCAGGCUUAACACAUGCAAGUCGAGCGAGCGGCGGACGGGUGAGUAAUGUAUGGGAAUCUGCCUGAUGGAGGGGGAUAACUACUGGAAACGGUAGCUAAUACCGCAUACCAUCAGAUGCUCCCAUAUGGGAUUAGCUUGUAGGGGGGGUAACGGCUCACCUAGGCGACGAUCCCUAGCUGGUCGGAGAGGAUGAUCAGCCACACUGGGACUGAGCCACGGCCCAGGCUCCUACGGGAGGCACCAGUGGGGAAUAUUGCACAAUGGGCGCAAGCCUGAUGCAGCCAUGCCGCGUGUGUGAAGAAGGCCUUCGGGUUGUAAAGUUCUUUCGGUAGCGAGGCGUUACUCUCAGAAGAAGCACCGGCUAACUCCGUGCCAGCAGCCGCGGUAAUAC
rnacentral:rRNA from 1 species